rnacentral:ribozyme from 14 species
UCAUGCCGACAAAACGGGAAAAAAAAAAAAAACAUAAUAAACAACAUGACAUCAGUAGUAUUGCGUUGUUUUUUCGCGCAGCGCAUGGUGGUCUCUGCUCUUUUUUUUUUUUUUUUUUUUU